GCCUUGAUGGUGAAAUGGUAGACAUGCGAGACCCAAAAUCUCGUGCUGAAGAGCGUGGAGGUUCGAGUCCUCUUCAAGGCA
rnacentral:tRNA from 1 species